GAAUCUUGGACAAUGGGGGCAACCCUGAUCCAGCCAUGCCGCGUGAGCGAUGAAGGCCUUAGGGUUGUAAAGCUCUUUCAGCGGGGAAGAUAAUGACGGUACCCGCAGAAGAAGCCCCGGCUAACCCCGUUCCAGCAGCCGCGGUAAUACGGAGGGGGCUAGCGUUGUUCGGAAGUACUGGGCGUAAAGCGCGCGUAGGCGGACAUUUAAGUCAGGUGUGAAAUCCCGGGGCUCAACCCCGGAACUGCCUUUGAUACUGGGUGUCUGGAGGUCGAGAGAGGUGAGUGGAAUUCCGAGUGUAGAGGUGAAAUUCGUAGAUAUUCGGAGGAACACCAGUGGCGAAGGCGGCUCACUGGCUCGAUACUGACGCUGAGGUGCGAAAGCGUGGGGAGCAAACAGG
rnacentral:rRNA from 1 species